rnacentral:rRNA from 1 species
UACGUAGGUGGCGAGCGUUUGUCCGGAUUUACUGGGCGUAAAGCGCGCGCAGGCGGCAGUCUAAGUCCUCUGUGAAAUCACCCGGCUCAACUGGGUGGCUGCGGGGGAGACUGGGCAGCUUGAGGGGCCUAGAGGCCGGUGGAACUCCCGGUGUAGUGGUGAAAUGCGUAGAGAUCGGGAAGAACACCAGUGGCGAAGGCGGCCGGCUGGGGGCGCCCUGACGCUGAGGCGCGAGAGCGUGGGGAGCGAACAGG